GACGCUCUCGACCUUCGGGUCACAUGGGAGAGUGGCGAACGGGUGAGUAACACGUGAGAAACCUGCCCUAAAGAUUGGGACAACCACGGGAAACUGUGGCUAAUACCGAAUACCUUCUCUUGGCCGCAUGGUCAGUUGAAGAAAUGCUCCGGCGCUUUAGGAGGGUCUCGCGGCCUAUCAGCUUGUUGGUGAGGUAACGGCUCACCAAGGCAUCGACGGGUAGCUGGUCUGAGAGGACGAUCAGCCACACUGGGACUGAGACACGGCCCAGACUCCUACGGGAGGCAGCAGUGGGGAAUCUUGCGCAAUGGGCGAAAGCCUGACGCAGCGAUGCCGCGUGGGGGAUGAAGGCUCUCGGGUCGUAAACCCCUUUCAGCAGGGACGAAAAUGACGGUACCUGCAGAAGAAGCCCCGGCCAACUACGUGCCAGCAGCCGCGGUAACACGUAGGGGGCGAGCGUUGUCCGGAUUUAUUGGGCGUAAAGGGCUCGUAGGCUGUUCAGUAAGUCAGGUGUGAAAACCCAAGGCUCAACCUUGGGACGCCACUUGAUACUGCUGUGACUAGAGUCCGGUAGAGGAGAUUGGAAUUCCUGGUGUAGCGGUGAAAUGCGCAGAUAUCAGGAGGAACACCAACGGCGAAGGCAGAUCUCUGGGCCGGUACUGACGCUGAGGAGCGAAAGCGUGGGGAGCGAACAGGAUUAGAUACCCUGGUAGUCCACGCCGUAAACGUUGGGCACUAGGUGUGGGGUCUAUUCAACGGAUUCCGUGCCGCAGCUAACGCAUUAAGUGCCCCGCCUGGGGAGUACGGCCGCAAGGCUAAAACUCAAAGGA
rnacentral:rRNA from 1 species